rnacentral:tRNA from 1 species
GUCUUUUUAGUACAACCCGUAUAAACGACUUCCAAUCAUUUGAUCUUAGUUAGAGCCUAAGAAAAGACA